rnacentral:rRNA from 1 species
AGUGAACGCUGGCGGUAGGCCUAACACAUGCAAGUCGAACGGCAGCACAGUAAGAGCUUGCUCUUACGGGUGGCGAGUGGCGGACGGGUGAGGAAUACAUCGGAAUCUACUUUUUCGUGGGGGAUAACGUAGGGAAACUUACGCUAAUACCGCAUACGACCUACGGGUGAAAGCAGGGGAUCUUCGGACCUUGCGCGAUUGAAUGAGCCGAUGUCGGAUUAGCUAGUUGGCGGGGUAAAGGCCCACCAAGGCGACGAUCCGUAGCUGGUCUGAGAGGAUGAUCAGCCACACUGGAACUAGGACACGGUCCAAACUCCUACGGGAGGCAGCAGUGGGGAAUAUUGGACAAGGGGCGCAAGCCUGAUCCAGCCAUACCGCGUGGGUGAAGAAGGCCUUCGGGUUGUAAAGCCCUUUUGUUGGGAAAGAAAAGAAGCAGGUUAAUACCCCGCUGUUCUGACGGUACCCAAAGAAUAGGCACCGGCUAACUUCGU